rnacentral:snRNA from 1 species
AUGCUUGUGUCAGCAGCACAUAUACCAACACUGGGACACAGAGAAGAUGUACACAUCCCCUGUGCAAGAAUGACAUACAAAUUUGUGAAGCAUUCCAUAGGUGG